UGUUCUGUGGCUUAGUUGGUUAAAGCGCCGGUCUAGCGAAUACGGAGUCGUGGGUUCUAAUCCCACCAGAACGC
rnacentral:tRNA from 1 species